rnacentral:rRNA from 1 species
UACGUAGGGUGCGAGCGUUUUUCGGAAUUACUGGGCGUAAAGCGUGCGUAGGCGGAUUUUUUAGCCAGAUGUGAAAUCCCCGGGCUUAACCUGGGAAUGGCAUUUUGUACUGGAAGUCUUGAGUGCGGCAGAGGUGGGUGGAAUUCCAAGUGUAGCUGUGAAAUGCGUAGAUAUGUGGAAGAACACCAGUGGCGAAGGCAGCUCCCUGGUCCGGUACUGACGCUCAUGUACGAAAGCGUGGGGAGCAAACAGG